rnacentral:rRNA from 1 species
AUUGAACGCUGGCGGCAGGCCUAACACAUGCAAGUCGAACGAGUGGCGGACGGGUGAGUAAUGUCCGGGAAACUGCCCGAUGGAGGGGGAUAACUACUGGAAACAGUAUCUAAUACAGCAUACCAUCGGAUGUGCCCAGAUGGGGUUAGCUAGUAGGUGGGGUAACGUCUCACCUAGGCGACGAUCCAUAGCUGGUCUGAGAGGAGGACCAGCCACACUGGAACUGAGACACGGUCCAGACUCCGACGGGAGGCAGCAGUGGGGAAUAUUGCACAAUGGGCACAAGCCUGAUGCAGCCAUGCCGAGUGUAUGAAGAAGGCCUUCGGGUUGUAAAGUACUUUCAGCGAGGAGGCGUUACUCGCAGAAGAAGCACCGGCUAACUCCGUGCCAGCAGCCGCGGUAAUUC